GGUUUCAUGGUGUAGUUGGUUAUCACAUCACUUUUACGUAGUGAGGGUCCCCGGUUCAAACCCGGGUGGAACCA
rfam:Entamoeba invadens IP1 unplaced genomic scaffold scaff_1105074726199, whole genome shotgun sequence.